ACACUUGUGGAUACAAGAAAAACAGCCCAACAAAUAAAUUUAAGAAAAUGUGGUCGUCGUGUAAACUCUCCAACUGCUCUCCACUCCAUGUUGAUAAAACUAAGAAUCCAGGAUUUGAGGCCUGAGCCAGUCAUCAUAACUACAAGAUGUGCUGAAGUUCUGCUUGUGCCGAGUCUGUCAUCAGUCUAUCUGUUUCACCUGUCAUCACCAACUAUCUCAACAACAUCGCCUGGAUAAACAGCAUCCCAUUCCAUUGGAGAAACUACCAUGUCGAUCGAGUUAUACGGAUCUCUUCUACUUCCCCAUUUCUUUAAAUGUCUGAGCAUGCCUGGCCUGUGGAUUUCCCAGGCUUAAAGGUAGGACACCAUUUCUCUCUAUUCUUCCUUUUUCGAUUAUUUGGUGGUGUUUAUCACAUGUUUAGGUAGGCAGAUAGUUAGGUUUUAUCACACCUGAGGCAGGCCUUUGACUGAAACUGUUUUUCUCUUGCAAUUUUAGUUUAAUCAGUUAGGGUUCAUUAAAAACUUCAUUGUCAGAACGACUGAAGGUCAGGCCUUGAAAAAUAUUAAAACUUUCGACACUUUAAGCCAUGAGAAAAGCUAUAAAAAUGGUCUGAGCAAGAGUGGGCCCUCCUUCAUCACAUCGUCAUAAUAAUAAUUAGGUCCGAUUCCGUAAUGGAUCUGCUGGCUGGCUGGAACUGCCAUGUCGGACGUGGAGUGGCCACGGCAUUUUUUUUUCUUUUCCCCCCCAGCAUCACACAAAAGGCAUUUCCGCCACGGCCAUCACGGACACAUGAGAGCUCGGUUGGUUUAUCUAGAACGGAACUUGCAGACGGCCGUGAUGGAUUAAUAGCCCAAGCAGUCAUAAUAAUAUUCUCUGCUGUCUAUUAUUAUUAUGUAGACACCCGCACAUCCACAUAUUAUAGGGAGGGGCAGCCCAGCAUCUGACGAUAUUUUAUCUUUUGAUGAUGAUGUGCACACACACACACACAUCCAGGUCUAUACACACUCUUAGUCGAGACAGCUGAUAUCAUCAUCAAUAAACCCGGAAGAACCCCUGGCAUUUCUUGUCCAAUCAAAUGGCAUCUUUUUUCGUCCCAACUUGCUCAAUCAACAUAUUAAAAUUUGAUAUAUUUUGGGAAAUUGUGUCCUUUUAUCGAUUCAACAAUGGCAUUUAUUUCGCCGGGGAGCUGGCGACAACACACGCUGGGGGGGCGGAUAUCGAUUUGCUAUACUUUCUGUAUUAUAUUCAUUUCCCGGGGUGAAACAACAACAAAGUUUAUAAUUUAGCCAUGAAAUUGGAUUUCUCUUUUUCCUUUUAUUUUUAAUAUCUCAAAAGUAUAGCGAAGGGGAAAGGCAAUCAUCAGUCACUUCAGUGUGACUCUCUGCUGGCAAUUUUUCACGACUAAUGAACGCCAGACACAAAGUGUCGCAGCCAGCAGCACAGCACACUCGUCAAAAACGCUCAGACACGCUCUCGAGCUAUGGCAAAUCAUUUCCAUGUGCCAGUAGUACUCAAAAAGUCUUUCACACUCGCAUUUACAUGGAAAAAGAGUUAAAUCUCAGCAUUACGCUAUACGAUUUGAACAUUUUUUUGAAAAUCAAAUCUUUGCCGCCAUCAAUUUGGGCGCCAAAUGGCGGACGCCGUUUGAAUGUGAAAAUUCGACUAUCGAAAUCAAUUGAAUUGCCAAACUUUUUUAAUUUAAUUUUUAUUUUUUCGAGCGCAAAGAGAGGAGCAGUUUUAAUUGGAAAAAACUCUUGUGAGCUCACAUAGAGAGAGCAGAGCGUCGUUCGAAUUGUUUGCAAUCGCGGAACAAAGAUUUUCGUCCGUAUAACUUUGUGCCGCUGCUGCUGCUGCUGCCAUUCCGCACGAUUGACUUUAAUGCGUUUGAACGCAAACGGGCAGAGUGGAGAGCAGCAGCUGCAAACAACAAGACGAAAAGAGCCGAGCCGAGCAGAGAGUGUAAAAAGAAUCAAAUGAUGUUUGUGAGAUGCUGUAAUAGAUGGCGACUCAACUCGUUAUAGAUCCCCUUUUUCUCUUACACGCCAUCAAGAGUCUCAAGUGCUCUUGAUAGACUUGUAUAGUUUGAUGGACGUUAUUUCAAAUGAUAUAGGCCCCCUUUUUUUAAAUGUGUUUGAUCAGAUAUGCUGAUCUUGUUAGACAUACGCCGUUGCUUUCGGGUGCUGGAUCUUUUAACUUUUUAACUUUAAUGAGAGAACCGGCCCUGCCCGUCGUCGUAAAGGGGGAAUGUGCGUGAUUUUCCAGCGACUAUAGUAGAAGCGCAAGUGAAACAUUUUCGAACAAUCAUACGCGGUUCAAAGCGCCGGCCGUAAAAGAUUUCCGUGGAAACUUCUAGGCCCUUCUGGUGGUGGUCCUGUCUGUGUACUCAAUUCGUGGAAUGUUGGCGAGCGCGCGCGCCUUUUGAAUAAUAGAAUACCCGCGCGCCACAGAGAGCGUGCAGCGUGCUGUGCUGUGCCUUGGAAAAUUAAUUGAAUUCAAUCAAUUAUAUCCUUUCACAUGUCGAAAGGAGAGGAACUGCUCUGCAUAAUAAUACUAUAUACGUAGAGACUGUGGAUCAAAGCGACGACACUUUCCGUAUCAAUCGAAUGCAGUUAUCGGAAUUCCGGGGGGGCCAACU
rnacentral:lncRNA from 1 species